rnacentral:tRNA from 1 species
UCUAAUGUGGCAGAUAAAUGCAAUGAAUUUAAGAUUCUUAUAUAAAUAUUAUUAUUUCUUUAGAA